rnacentral:rRNA from 1 species
AGUGAACGCUGGCGGUAGGCCUAACACAUGCAAGUCGAACGGCAGCACCGUAAGAGCUUGCUCUUACGGGUGGCGAGUGGCGGACGGGUGAGGAAUACAUCGGAAUCUACUUUUUCGUGGGGGAUAACGUAGGGAAACUUACGCUAAUACCGCAUACGACCUACGGGUGAAAGCAGGGGAUCUUCGGACCUUGCGCGAUUGAAUGAGCCGAUGUCGGAUUAGCUAGUUGGCGGGGGAAAGGCCCACCAAGGCGACGAUCCGUAGCUGGUCUGAGAGGAUGAUCAGCCACACUGGAACUGAGACACGGUCCAGACUCCUACGGGAGGCCGCAGUGGGGAAUAUUGGACAAUGGGCGCAAGCCUGAUCCAGCCAUACCGCGUGGGUGAAGAAGGCCUUCGGGUUGUAGAGCCCUUUUGUUGGGAAAGAAAAGCAGCAGGUUAAUACCCCGCUGUUCUGACGGUACCCAAAGAAUAAGCACCGGCUAACUUCGUG